ensembl:lncRNA
UUUACAAAAAUAGAUUUUUAUUAUUACAAUAAUUUAAAAGAAGAUUUAUUUUAUUAGUUCUCAACAGACAAUAUUGUAAUAGGAAUUAACAGUAAUGGAUCUAUGGGAACAAGGAUUAUCAUGGCUGUGUUUCCUAGUGCAGGUGGUAGGUCCACUUCAUCUAUCUUCAUUUUUAAAAGCUAUCUUAAAAUGACAGCAGAAGUAUAUUUUAGUGUUUGAAGGAGGUAAUUACUCAGUGAAGCUUCCAAAGAUGAAAAGUCAGAAGGAAUAAUUCUUCAAUCUGUGUUUGCUUUGAAAAGCUGAACCCCUACUUGAAGAUCACCCAGCCAAAGGGAAGAUGGUGAAGCACAGCGGUCAGAGCCAAGCACUCUGCUGUGUACUGGCUUGGACAUUUUCUGGGUUCCAGGUUAUCAAUGGCAACACAUAAAAAUAUUCCCUGAAUGGAGGAGCACUUCAGUUUGAGUGGACCCAAUCUUGGAAGUACUUGUACAUAUUUAUUGUCACAACAGCUUAAAUAAAACACACAUUUGAACAAAUGCAAGAUCAAUCCAGCAAUCUGCAGCCUGUCCCUGCUUCAAUCAAAAUUAAUUAGUUUUGUCAUCAAUGAGAAUAAGAAAGCUCUUAGAAUACUGUAACCUUCCCUAUAUUAAAAAAAAAAAAAAAUCCAGAUCAAAACCAUUGCAUAUUCUUACAAUUUUGUGGAGCCCUAACACAGCUCAGUUUCUAAUGCACUGUCUUAACAAAACUGUGACUAAGCAAGUCUAAUAUGAAUUGAUGUAAAUCCUUAAUUUGGAAGGCUUUAGAUUCAAGGAGCAUCUCUUAAUUUUCUGCAAUUGUUGUUUGCAUUAAUCUGUUUUAAACAAAAAUAGAAGUGCGAUAUAUUAAUAGUAUCAAAUGAUUUGAGUAUCAAACAAUUUGAGUUUCUGAAAUGGACUAAGCCAAUCCACCUGGGUACCUAAUUACAUAUAUACUUUUACUGUAUCCCAAGUUACAAGGUUACAAUAAAUUCAUAUAAUUAUCCCACAAUAUAAAAAUUAUUAUGGAUCCUAAUCCUACAGGGAUUUCAUUUGGCCUACUAGGAGUUUCCAUAUCCCUCAGAAAUUCAGGUGGCCAACUCCAGUACAUUCAUCCUUCAUUCCUUGUUACUUCAGAAUCAGGAUACCUGGCAAAUAUUUUGGAAAGUAGCAUUUGAGUACUCCUUAAGACACCUUCACAGAGUCUGAUUCUUCAUCGGGAAUGUACCUAACACUCAAAAUCUGAGCUCUCCUGUGACUCAAGCUGAGUUCUCAGUGCUAAGACUUCAGAAAUCUUUUUUUCUUCUUUCCCUUGAUUAAUUUUGCUGUCUGAAAUACAAAACUUCAUCAUUGUGCUUACAUGACUGCAUUAAGUCUAUUAAGUACAAUUCAGUCAUCUCUAAAACUGUUUCAUCUAUUGGAAAGUAUAGAUCUUCUCCAAAUAAAAUAUUCUAAAUUGUAAGACAGUGCUGAAAACUGUCUUACGUGUAUCUUGCCCAUAAUCUCAAAAUAUAAAAGCCAAAGCAGUAAAAGGGUACCAGUAAGUCUUUCAGUCCAUUCUUGCAAGCUGAUACUCCCUCUGCACUUUUAUUUUCUCCAUUUAACUAAAGGUGAAGCUUUCCAUAAAAGCAGCUAAAUUCAUUCAUUAAAUGAUUGAGAAUCCUUUUUGCUUGCUAUGGGAAUAGCAAGACUUAAGCGCCUGAGGUGAUAUACAAUAAGGCAAAAUAAUGCUCACUGGAUAGCAGUAGUACACAGAGAUUCCCACACCACAUUCUGGAUAUCUAUUUCUGAGAGCUCUAAAAGUUUCUCUAUCCUAUGAUUUAAUCCAGCACAAAUUUCAGGUUUAAUCUCUGUGAACCUCGGCUGCAUUCAGUCUCUGAGUAAGACUGACAACUUUUUCUACCCUUCUAUGAAAAUAAUCUGAAAAUUGAAGACAUUAAAGAAAGUGAAACCAGGUUCAGCAGUAUAGCAGAAGCUAUUGUGUGUAGCAACUGCCCUAACUUUUCUCAUCCUUUGUUUCCUGACAGGUUAUUUUCUAUUACAUCUCUGUAAGCAUUUUGAGUCAUUUCAUCUUCACACCUCACUUUUCAAACUAUGGGAAGUAGAAAUUCAGAUAAAAGCUUUAGAACAAUUUAUAUUUACCCUUGAUCAGCAACACUACCUGCCCCUCCUGCCCUUGAUUGUAAUAGUGUUGUCAUUUUUGUCAUCAGUACAAGCAAUUAUGCAAUACAGAAAAUACCUGAUGGGAGUUUACUUUCAGUUGCACAAUUUGCAACAUACAUAAUCACUUUUUUUUUUCUUUUUGCAGUGCUUUGCACUAGGUCUUCGUUAAUCACUAGAGGACCUUGGCAUUGCUGUGGUGAAAUACCUUGUGUUGAGCACUCAGAUAUCAGUGAGAAUCACAAGGAGGUGUUUUCUGUUUGCUGUCACCAUCAAGUCUAUCUUAAGUGCAGGGCACCAGCCUGACCUAGGAAUCAUAGGAAUCACUGCAGUCAGUGAACCUAAAGAAACUUAUUGACUAGAUAUUAUGAUCCUGGCUUAAGGCAUCUUAAGGAAUCAGAGAGGCACUAAAUAGUCAUUGCAAGGCACCACUUGUAUUUUCUUCUUUAAAAAAAAACAAAAAAAACCAAAAAAAAA